rnacentral:rRNA from 1 species
UACGGGGGGUGCGAGCGUUAUCCGGAAUCACUGGGUUUAAAGGGUGCGUAGGCGGCUCGGUAAGUCAGUUGUGAAAGCCCCUUGCUUAACGAGGGAGGUGCGAUUGAUACUGUCGAGCUUGAAUCGGGAUGAGGCAGGCGGAAUGUGGCAUGUAGCGGUGAAGUGCAUAGAUAUUCCAUAGAACACCGAUUGCGAAGGCAGCCUGCUGGGCCUGUAUUGACGCUGAGGCACGAAAGCGUGGGGAGCAAACAGG